rnacentral:lncRNA from 1 species
CUGGGCCGGGACACGUCGCACGAGGCGGGGGAGUGCGGAGACGGAAACACAGGACUAGAGGCUGAAGCCAACGACGCAGGUGACCUUGCGCAUUGUCGAACACGACAACCCGGCAGUUGUCCAGAGUUCGUCAAUGCGGCGCAACUCCGUGGGGUAUCCUGUGGAGCAUGUGCAUCACGUUCAGGGGACGUUGAAGCGCGGUGUCCCGGAUGCGAAGUCCGAGUCGAGGGUCGUGCCGCGAUGGCCUGACUAUCUCUCCGCUUUUCGAGAUCUUUCUCUAACCCGAGCGUCUCUUCCGCCUCUUGCGGCGUGCUUGCGGCCAGAGAGCGUGCCUGCGGGGAGGCAGGCGGCAAACAUUUCUCCCGUACGAACUCGCCGCCAGGAACCAUUUGAGUGGUACCGCUGCUGCUCUCCUGGCGUCGGUCUCUGGCCGUCCCAUCCACAGUUUUCGUUCGAGAAACUGCCGUGGCAGGCAAGCACUGGCCUAGGCAGAUGUCGCUCGCCUCUCUGAAAUUGGACUGGACAAAAACCUGCUCAGGUGGUUCGGGAGGGCCGUCGUGCUGGUCACGUCUCACUGCGGCGUCGAGAUGGCAUUCACGGAGAAGAGGGGCGGAGCGGCUGUCGAUCUCGCCGUAGCGGCUCGCCGGACUGCAGGGGGUCUGGCGCUCUCGGGGACGGAAGAACGAACUGGAGGCGCCUUCAAAAAAUGCAGAGCUGCUGGCGUCUCUCCGCUGUGACGCAUUGCAGGCCUCGGCUUCGUGCUGUUGCGUGCUCGACUGAAGUGGCCUGUGACUGGCAGCCGGGCCGAUUCGCGGUUGAUCCUUUUCCAGAACAUGUGCUCCUUGGGGAUACGGCCACAAACGCGUUUGAUCGACUACGUGGCGGCUUACAACGCUCCGCCGUUCGGGAGUCGCGCGGAAGUUGGCAGACUGCGCUGCCUGUUCUAAGGAAGUGUAGUCUGAAGGUGAGGAGGAAAAAGAUUGAAGUUGAGCGGUGACUGGGGAGGCAACGUAGCUUUCCUCAGAACCAGUGCACUGCACGUGAUUCCUAUGCGCCUCGCUUUUGUGGAAACGCGCUGGCCACGAAGACAGCCGACAUAACUGCUCCUCGAAAGUGCUCUGUGAACCAAGACGAAACGGAAAAUUCAAACGGUUCUGUGAAGCGGGCAUACAAGCAAAUGCAGAUGCAGGGCGGGAAGUGACGCGAUCGGCAACACCGACAGGGAACGUGCCGUUUGGAGAGUGUUUGAUGGCAUCAGACGAAUUAAAGCCAACGCAGGCGAGAGGUGGAGCGGCUCUAGGAACUCGGUAAAGACAAGGCGGUUCUGGAUGUGGGCGCAGAAAAGACCCCAUAGACCCUGGGUGGUGACAACUCGAAUGCAGAGGCAAGAUUUGUUGGCGCCUGAAAAGCGCCCUGGAACAAGGACGGUACGUCACUGGAUCAGACGCUCCGGAGACCGUGGCCGCCCGACGAGAACUUGUUCCUCCUACCAGCAGGCGCCUCUCUCCCGCCUGUCUCUGAGUUCCAGUCAGCCUGCUGUGGGUUGUAGUGUAACUGGAGCCUACUACGGAAGACAGGAAAGGAAGUUUCUGCCUCACGAUCCAGAAACAUGACGGAUCGCUCGGCGGUAAACGAAAAAACGCCGGAAUCGCUCUUGGGGAUUCACGCGUGAGCGACGCGGACUUAGAAGGGACAGGAGGGAAGGUCACCGAAGUUCGUAUCCCAACGUGUUGAGAUCGAACUGCGGCGGGCGGCGGUUUUUCAGCAUGCUUUGCAGGCAUUGCUUCUGCGUCAGCCAUCGCUGGCGGCAUCUUGCCUACGGAGACAACGCUCAAUGAGGACCCCCCCUUGAGAGGCAUCCGGGGAUGUCAGAAGAGGAAAACUGAAAGGCAGCGUUGUCUGUUGGUGUCGUCUCGGAUCUGCGUUGGCGCACAAGCCCCUAUGAAAGCAACUCGUCUCGUUCGCUGCGCAGGCGCAAUGCGUAUUCCGAGAGAUGGAUCGAUGUCAUGACACGCUUCAGUUUUCGUCAGAAGGGGAGCCCACACUUCACAUCACACACCAGGAGAGACCGUGCAAUGUCUCCGGCGGCAUGCUGGCUCCGGGAUGUGAUGUGGCAUGACGCACACGCGCCAUCGAGUCGCACUUUUACAUAACUUGAUUCGCUUGACCCUCCAGUUUACAGGGCGUCUUUACAGAAGCAGCACGCCCUCAGAGCAGUCGUUGGAUUUCCUGGGGAGUUGGCCACUGCGAAAGCGAACCACAAAGCGGGAAACAUGACAGGGAAUGGCAUAGACUGGUGUGCCACUACGGGUUUUGAGAGAUACGCCGUACAGAACCCGACAGCUAUUGUAUACACCGUGACCCACUUCUGGCGGAAAAUCGCCGCUGGGUAAAGCAGAGAAAACUAUCUGCAUUACCAGUCUCACUUUUGUAGAACGUCAAUGUCAUGAAGCAAGGAGCAUGGAAAUCGUCGC